rnacentral:lncRNA from 1 species
GAGCAAUUCCUGCAGAGUGAAGUGGCUGAAAACCAGACUGCUGAGUGUCAGAGAGGGAGGAGAGCAUCUGAGCAACCCUAACACCCAGCAUCAAUUGACUUUUGGUGAUGGUGGUGUCAAACGGAUCAGAGGUGACCAAGCUUCCUUCUUCUGAGGGCAGACUGCCAGUACCAAAGUGGUGUUGCUAUGGAGAAUUCCAAGUACAGUGUUGGACAAUCACGGCCUUUUAACCUCUGCCAUGGACAGUAACUACAGCCAGCAUGUCGUCCAUGCUUUAACCAAGAAACGGGCAUAGCAUGGAAAGCAGUGCUCCAUUGGAAGGUGAAAAGCCAUCACCUUCAAGAGGAGGAAGGCAACGACAAGAUCAACCACAGUCCAGGAUGGUUGUGUUAAAGCCAUGUUGUCCCUGCUCCAAUGUCCUGGAGUCUAUGGGCUGGAGGCAACGCUUUAAGAGUUUUAACAAAUGUGGAAUUGCAAUGUUUGGACGUCUGGAGGUCUAUAUCCUAUGUACCACAUGGUACAAAAUGUGCUGG